CUAGCUCAUGCUGAUAAGCACCUACUGACGCAAGCAGUUCCAUUAAGGCCCCUCCUUUCAAGGAAAAGCUCGAUUGGGCUCAGGCUACUUCUCUGGAAGAAUAAGAACAGUCUCUGCCAAUCUAUGAAUUUGUACAACAUGAUGUAAGAAAACUUCAAAAGGAGUUCUGGUUGAUGGCACUUUUAGAACCACCAAGGCUGUGGAGGAAAACCGUUUUCUGGAAAGAGCACUCCCAGAGCUACUUGCAAAAUCAUUAAGUGCUUAGAUCAUAGAAUAGUUCUUAAACUCCAUCACAUGUUUUUCCCUCCAUUUUUGUUUCUUAAUUGUUAAUCUCCUGAACCUUUGAGGUCUCAAGAAAAUGUAAAUCAAAAGCUUUUUGAGUUAUGGUUCCUGAUGAUUCACAAGGCCAGGGCUCUUUGGGACUCCAUGCUUGUACUACCAAUGAAACAAUUGAUGGAGGGGAAGUGUAUCCUACAUGGUUUCAACACAAAGUAUUUCCGGAAAGCAGGAGCCUUUGGGAUGAGGUGAGGUUUUCCACUUUCUGUUUCACUUCUGCUUCCCUCUUUCCUUCUCCUCUUCUUUCCCCUUUCCCUUCCCUUUACUGUUACCCUCUCCCUUUCCCUUCCCUUUUGCCUCCUUCUUCUUCAUCAUGGAGGGAUAUUUGGGAAGUUAUGCAUCACUGUUCUAAUUUCACUGUUGGUGACUUUGUAUUAAUAAGUUUUCAGUGGAUACAGACGUCGUG
rnacentral:lncRNA from 1 species